GCAGCCUCAUCAACGUCUUGUACAACUGCAACAGGACUUCUCAACUUCUAUAAUCAAUGCCCGGAACAAUGAAGGCGAGCAGAUCAAAAGCCUUCUUCAUCGUCCUGUUUCUCUGUGACAUCCACUUUCAGAGAACCACGUACUUCACAGUCUUACAAGUUCCACGGAACACAACAGUUAUGUAAUCUUUUCAAGCAAAUUGACCCUUGGAGUCUAGGUUUUACCUUCCCCAGAAGAGAUCUUAGCACCAGAUCGCAAGAAGUCCAUGACACCAGGUUAAACAUGGAUAUG